AAAUUGAAGAGUUUGAUCAUGGCUCAGAUUGAACGCUGGCGGCAGGCCUAACACAUGCAAGUCGAACGGUAACAGGAAGCAGCUUGCUGCUUCGCUGACGAGUGGCGGACGGGUGAGUAAUGUCUGGGAAACUGCCUGAUGGAGGGGGAUAACUACUGGAAACGGUGGCUAAUACCGCAUAACGUCGCAAGACCAAAGAGGGGGACCUUCGGGCCUCUUGCCAUCAGAUGUGCCCAGAUGGGAUUAGCUUGUUGGUGAGGUAACGGCUCACCAAGGCGACGAUCCCUAGCUGGUCUGAGAGGAUGACCAGCCACACUGGAACUGAGACACGGUCCAGACUCCUACGGGAGGCAGCAGUGGGGAAUAUUGCACAAUGGGCGCAAGCCUGAUGCAGCCAUGCCGCGUGUAUGAAGAAGGCCUUCGGGUUGUAAAGUACUUUCAGCGGGGAGGAAGGUGUUGCGGUUAAUAACCGCAGCAAUUGACGUUACCCGCAGAAGAAGCACCGGCUAACUCCGUGCCAGCAGCCGCGGUAAUACGGAGGGUGCAAGCGUUAAUCGGAAUUACUGGGCGUAAAGCGCACGCAGGCGGUCUGUCAAGUCGGAUGUGAAAUCCCCGGGCUCAACCUGGGAACUGCAUUCGAAACUGGCAGGCUUGAGUCUUGUAGAGGGGGGUAGAAUUCCAGGUGUAGCGGUGAAAUGCGUAGAGAUCUGGAGGAAUACCGGUGGCGAAGGCGGCCCCCUGGACAAAGACUGACGCUCAGGUGCGAAAGCGUGGGGAGCAAACAGGAUUAGAUACCCUGGUAGUCCACGCCGUAAACGAUGUCUACUUGGAGGUUGUGCCCUUGAGGCGUGGCUUCCGGAGCUAACGCGUUAAGUAGACCGCCUGGGGAGUACGGCCGCAAGGUUAAAACUCAAAUGAAUUGACGGGGGCCCGCACAAGCGGUGGAGCAUGUGGUUUAAUUCGAUGCAACGCGAAGAACCUUACCUGGUCUUGACAUCCACAGAACUUUCCAGAGAUGGAUUGGUGCCUUCGGGAACUGUGAGACAGGUGCUGCAUGGCUGUCGUCAGCUCGUGUUGUGAAAUGUUGGGUUAAGUCCCGCAACGAGCGCAACCCUUAUCCUUUGUUGCCAGCGGUUAGGCCGGGAACUCAAAGGAGACUGCCAGUGAUAAACUGGAGGAAGGUGGGGAUGACGUCAAGUCAUCAUGGCCCUUACGACCAGGGCUACACACGUGCUACAAUGGCGCAUACAAAGAGAAGCGACCUCGCGAGAGCAAGCGGACCUCAUAAAGUGCGUCGUAGUCCGGAUUGGAGUCUGCAACUCGACUCCAUGAAGUCGGAAUCGCUAGUAAUCGUGGAUCAGAAUGCCACGGUGAAUACGUUCCCGGGCCUUGUACACACCGCCCGUCACACCAUGGGAGUGGGUUGCAAAAGAAGUAGGUAGCUUAACCUUCGGGAGGGCGCUUACCACUUUGUGAUUCAUGACUGGGGUGAAGUCGUAACAAGGUAACCGUAGGGGAACCUGCGGUUGGAUCACCUCCUUACCU
rnacentral:rRNA from 1 species